rnacentral:rRNA from 1 species
UACGUAGGGGGCAAGCGUUGUCCGGAUUUACUGGGCGUAAAGAGCGCGCAGGCGGUCGUUCAAGUCGCGUGUGAAAGCCCCCGGCUCAACUGGGGAGGGUCACGCGAUACUGAUCGACUCGAAGGCAGGAGAGGGUAGUGGAAUUCCCGGUGUAGUGGUGAAAUGCGUAGAUAUCGGGAGGAACACCGGUGGCGAAGGCGGCAUUCUGGACCGAAACUGACGCUGAGGCGCGAAAGCCAGGGGAGCAAACGGG